GACGAACGCUGGCGGCGUGCUUAACACAUGCAAGUCGAACGGAAAGGCCCUGCUUUUGUGGGGUGCUCGAGUGGCGAACGGGUGAGUAACACGUGAGUAACCUGCCCUUGACUUUGGGAUAACUUCAGGAAACUGGGGCUAAUACCGGAUAGGAGCUCCUGCUGCAUGGUGGGGGUUGGAAAGUUUCGGCGGUUGGGGAUGGACUCGCGGCCUAUCAGCUUGUUGGUGGGGUAGUGGCUUACCAAGGCUUUGACGGGUAGCCGGCCUGAGAGGGUGGCCGGCCACAUUGGGACUGAGAUACGGCCCAGACUCCUACGGGAGGCAGCAGUGGGGAAUAUUGCACAAUGGGCGGAAGCCUGAUGCAGCAACGCCGCGUGCGGGAUGACGGCCUUCGGGUUGUAAACCGCUUUCGCCUGUGACGAAGCGUGAGUGACGGUAAUGGGUAAAGAAGCACCGGCUAACUACGUG
rnacentral:rRNA from 1 species